rnacentral:rRNA from 1 species
CCCUUAGAUGUUCUGGGCUGCACGCGCGCUACACUGACGCACGCAACAGGUGCCUGCUCCGAGAGGACUGGGUAAUCAUUUGAGUGUGCGUCGUGAUGGGGAUAGAAUAUUGUAAUUAUUACUCUUCAACGAGGAAUUCCUAGUAAGUGUGAAUCAUCAGUUCGCGCUGAUUACGUCCCUGCCCUUUGUACACACCGCCCGUCGCUGCUACCGAUUGAGUGGUCCGGUGAAUUAUUCGGACCGGUGGACUGUGGGGAAACCCGCGGCCUGCUGGGAAGUCUUGUGAACCUUAUCACUUAGAGGAAGCAGAAGUCGUAACA